rnacentral:rRNA from 1 species
UACGAAGGGGGCAAGCGUUGUUCGGAUUUACUGGGCGUAAAGGGCGCGUAGGCGGAACGACAAGUCAGAGGUGAAAUCCCUGGGCUCAACCCGGGAAUUGCCUUUGGGACUGCCGUUCUAGAGUUCGGAAGAGGAUGGCGGAAUACCCAGUGUAGAGGUGAAAUUCGUAGAUAUUGGGUAGAACACCGGUGGCGAAGGCGGCCAUCUGGUCCGACACUGACGCUGAGGCGCGAAAGCGUGGGGAGCAAACAGG